CCAAAACAGCCAGGACUGGAGAGUUCAAGAUUUAUGAGAGGAGAGAAACUCAGUAAGGCCCUAAAAAGCACCUUGGGAUUUCCUUUGAUACGGUUUGAAGACGCUGUGAUUAAUCUAGAUCCAUUCACUCGGGUACAUCCCUAUGAGACCAAGGAGUUCAUCAUCAAUGAUAUCCUCAAACAUUUCCAGGAGGAACUCCUCAGCCAGGCAGCUCGAAUCCUGGGAUCAGUGGAUUUUCUUGGCAAUCCUAUGGGGCUUUUGAAUGAUGUUUCUGAAGGGGUUACUGGACUGAUAAAAUAUGGAAAUGUCGGGGGCCUCAUCAGAAAUGUUACACACGGAGUAUCAAACUCUGCUGCCAAG
rnacentral:sRNA from 1 species